AUUUCGGGGCGAGGUGUAAUUCCUCACCGGCGGUUAUAGUCCGCGACCCAUAGCAAUAUGGCUGAAUCGGUGAAAUUCCGAUACCGACGGUUACAGUCCGGACGAGAGAAA
rnacentral:ncRNA from 1 species